rnacentral:lncRNA from 1 species
AUAAAUUGAAUGCGAGCUGUCUCUUUAAAAUUUCAACCUAAAAAAUCUAAUUCAGGGACAACUUAUUUAUUAACAAGUCGAACAUGAGCAACCUCACGAACAAUAAGUUAAAUUACCAGCUUUACUACUGUAUUAAAAAUUUUUAAAAGUAAAAAAAUUAAAAUAUUAAUCUAAUAAUUAAAAUUUACAAAAUAUAAGAUUUUUUAGAACUGGGGAUCGAUUUCGAGCUAAUUUUGAGCCGAAUAUGAAAUAACUCACGAACAUCGAGCUGAAUUACCGGUCAUAUAGUAUAAAUCAACAUUACAGUACGCAAGUGUGAGAUCCACAUGUCGGUGUUUCAGUUAUGAUAUAUAUAAUAUAAUUGUUUGACCCCAAAUUUAGGUAUGCUAGUCAACUCAGAAUCGGAAUUGAAACCUGAAUUCGAAACCGAAAUAAUCAGCUUUCGAAAAUCCAUAAUCAAAAUCGUAUCCGAAACCAAAUCAGAAUCCAAACCCAAAACGAUCGUCUUAGUUUACCAAAUUUCAAAAAAUUCAUAUUUAAAUCUAAAAGUUUAAAGUAAAAAAUAAUUAUAAAUUAUUAAAUAUUUUACAUAUGUUAGACAAUAUAAAACAAUUGGGGUUUAGAUUGGAUAUAGACAAAAAUUAUAUCCAAACUCCCAGUCCUUCCAUUUUUUUUAAUUAAUACAUCUAUAACCGGAAUAGAUACUUAUUUAGCAUGAUUGAACCUACACUGUCCAAAUUAAAAUUUGAAUAAAAAUUUCAAAUAUUCAUAUUUAUUGACAACCUAUAUAUAUUUUACGUAUUAUUCAUAAUUUUGCUACCCACUGAAUGAAGAGCAAUUCUAAUGUACGCAAAAAAUACUCCAAAUAUACUAAGCUUCUCAAUUAUAGGCUAUUUUUAAAUUGAUACCUCCUUAGUUUUAAAUCUUUUAACCAUCAAUAAAUCUAACAAAAUUUAUUAAUUUGAUUGACUAAAUUGCUCAAAUCAAAAAAAAAAAAAAAACUAAAAAAUGAAAUGAUAUAGAAAAAGUUCCAUUUGAUAAUACCCUAUAGUUUAGGCGUCUCCGUGCAUUUUUACCACUCCGAAACUGUGGACGCAAGCGUUCACAAUAACGUCGAGGGUCAAAACCGUCAACGUUCUUUUCUCCUCGGCCCGCACGCAAGAUCAUAUGCGGACCCGCGUCCGCCCCCUCCCCCCCUCGGAUCCAACGGACCAGCGCCGCGUCGCAUAGAGACACUACGCUCACCACCCGCACCAUCGUUCCCCGCCCCACAACGUACGCGCCCUCGCAUUUUAAAACCUCUACGGGGGUGGAGGGAUUCCGCAUAGAAGGAGCCGCAUAGAUUGGAGGGUGUGCGACGAUGAGGAUGGUGAAGGUGAGCGAAGGGACAUUAAUGGGGAAUCAUCAUCGGGGGAGCGACGUUGAGCUCGCGCACGUGCUCCUCUACUGCGCCCUCUUCUUCCUCGUCGGGUUCUUCGGAUCCAAGCUUUUCUCUAAUGAGGUUAGGUUUUUUUUUUUUUUAAUAAGUAGAUAAAAUCCUUGUUACUAGUCGUGUUCUUAUCUUUGUUAGAGAUGGUGAUUUGUGUUCUCCGAAAGAUCGAUCAAAUAGAAAAUAGUUUUGCAAUAGUUUUUUUUUUUUUUUUUUAUUUGUGUGUGUGUGUGUUUGAUUGAAAGUAAGUAGUUUGAUUUUUGGUUAUUAAAAGAUCUUGAGAUCGAUAAUUUGGUAGAAUAGCAUAGUUCAUCUACGAUAGCAUGGUUCAUUUAUUUUAUUCGAAUAAAAUGACUAGAAUGUGGAAUAUGGUAUAUUUUAGGCAUUUGAUUGCUCUUUGUAACAACUUAAGCUUAUCCUCCGAAAGCUGCGGGAGCGGUGUUUUUAAUAUUUAUGUUCAACGCUCUCCUCAUUUACCAAAUAAUAUAAAUAUUUUGAGUAAAUCAAAAGAAUAUACCAAAUACGAUGUUCAGGCAUCCAAACAUGACUUAAAUGAUGAAUGUGAGGAAUUGAAUCAAGGCCUUUUGGAAUUGACGGAGCUUAGGACGUUUAAAAAAUAUAAAAUCACCGUUUUCUAUAAGCUUAAGCUUUCUGAGGAUGUCGGUUUUUUCACAUAAUUUAACAUGAUAUCAAAGCCGAAUAUACUGAAUUCAAGUCACGUCAGACUCUUAACAUAAUUGAUUUUCUCUCAUUUAAUUCAAGUUGGAUUAUGGAUCUAUCAAAAUGUCUCAAGCCCGGAGCCCCAGACGUAAGCAAAAAUGUUAAAUAUAAAAAUAUAAAAGUACCGUUCUCUUCAAGCUUAUUCUUUUAGAGACAAGGACCGGGUCUCGUAUCAUAUUGUCUAGAAUAUUGAAUCAAUAAGAAUGGCAUAAUAACUCUAUCUGGACAGAUAGAAACAACUCUAUUUUCAAUGGAAAGCCGCCCACGGUUUCUGGGUCUCUUGAACGCCUCAAAGCUCUGAUAAGCACUCGGAGUACAUUGCUUUGACGCCCUCACGUAACUCCCCUUUUUUUUUUCUUUUUCUUUUUCAGUUUUCUUUUUUCACCUUUUUCCCGCUUACUCGGAGGCCUAAGCUGCCUCCAACUUGUAUGCCCAGUUCAUUAGACUUAAUGAAUGAAGCAGGUAGCUUGCUACCUAUUUCUCAAAAAAAAAAAAGAAGAAUGGCAUAAUGAUAUAGUUUUUAACAAAUUUGAAGUUUUUUUUUUCCCUCCAAGGAUUUUGGUGUUGGCCAUGGAAUGCGUCAAGAGAGGAUGAUGAGAGGAGUAGAUGGAGUGGAAGAAGUAGAGUUGAGGAGUGUGCCUCAUGGGGUCACUGGAGAAUCUCACCUCUCUUUGAUUCCAUUUCAGGUUAUCCAUGUGUCCUUCUUUUGUUGUUUUCAAUUGCAAUCGAUGUUUUACUUAUAUAAAGUAACUCAUAGCUUGUUAGUCUAUUAUAUAGAUUUGUUAAUUGUAUUAGAUUACACCAUGGAAAAAUUCUUCUCUUAAGUAACAUUAUAGCAUUUUUCAUGUAGAUAGUCAUUUUGAAUUAUUAUCUCCUUUUGUAUCGAGAUAAGCGAAAUCUCUGCUUCCUGAUUUUGCGUAAAUAAUCCGUGAAUUAUUUUACAUUGGACACCCAUUCCUUUUUCUCUAUCAUAAUAUGGAAAUGGAGUAAUAAUAUUGGCAUAUUUCUGGGAAUUUUACCGAGCAUAUGAUGAAAGAAAUGAAGAAUUUGAGGUUCAAAGUGUUUUAUCUCUACAAACCCAAACAUAUGCUUUGGGCCUAAAUAUUUUUUCGAUCCUAACUAGAUUUUUGAACAUUAAGACCUCUAUUUUACAUCAAUCCUUGGCAUUUUGUAUAUUGUAAUUCUAAUGAACCUUAAAACAAAUAUCGCUUUUCAAUAUAUCAUGUUUUACUGCGCAUUCAAUUAACUUUUACAGGGUAUCCAUCUUGAAGUACUUCAAAAUAUUUAUCAAGGAGUUCAAUUAUAUACUCUAUAUGUGGUAAUAGGUUCUGAGUUGGCAACCUCGCACACUCUAUUUUCCUGAAUUUGCUAGUGCAGAAGAAUGCCAAACUAUAAUCAGAAUUGCAAGAUCAAGCCUUAUUCCGUCGACGUUAGCCCUACGUGAGGGAGAAACUGUUGAAAACACCAAAGGAAUAAGAACAAGGUAAUUGUUUUCAAAUUUCCAUUAUAUUGUCCUUAAGAUGAAGAAGAUAAAGCUUUGUAGGCACCUUUUCAAGUGAACCUCAUACUAGAAGAGUGAACCAUUAAGCCUCAUUUGGAUACACUUCUCCUUCUCCUUUUUGUUUAUGUUUCUUCUCAAGUUCCAUGCUAUUGGAUGAGCCAGAAGUAAUUCAUUCAUAUUAUUGUAAUUGUUGGUUAGUUUGCAAACACUUUUCUUUUGUAAAUAAGCAAAAGGUGAAAAAAAAAGUUGUUACUAUUUUUCCUUUUGUUUUGUUGCCAAACAAAUUAAUUCAUCGAAGCCGACACAUUUAAUCGCAUGGAAAUUGAGUGGGAGCAAAAAGUAAAUGUAACCAAAUGAGGCUUUAAUGUCCUGUUUUGUACAACUACAGAGCCAAAAGGACAAUUUAAUUCAAGAACUAUUUGACUAUAUCUGUUUAGGGAAACAGUACAGGAACAUUUAUCACUGCAUCUGAAGAUUCAACUGGCGUCUUGGACCGUCUUGAGAAAAGGAUUGCGACAGUUACUAUGAUUCCAAGGGACCAUGGAGAGGUAUGUUGCUUUCCUUUUAUUCUUGUUCGAAGAUGAGCCUUAUGCUAUUGUCCUUAUUAUUAAACCACUGGAAUCACCUCCUUUGGUAAAUCCUUUCUUAGAUCAUCCAUAUCUAUUUAUCGCUUUUAUAAUACCGCCAUAACAGGAUGAUGACCUAACAAAGAUCAAAAUAUAACAACAUUGUGACAAAUUCUUUAAUCUGUUGCUAUAUGUUUGUGCUUGUGUGCUGAUCAAUAUUGUUUAAGUACGGGUGCCUUAAAAUCAGAAAAAUUGAGUUCAAUACUAAUUCACUAGCCAAUCUUCAUUGUACCGUCCUGUAAAUGUUAGCUGAUUAGUUGAUCUCGAUCUCAAGGAAAUGCUGAUGUAUUAUUGCAUGUACUGAUGUCGAGGAAUGUGACCAUGUUGUAGGCCUUCAAUAUUCUUCGCUAUGAGAUCGGACAGAGGUAUGCUUCUCACUACGAUGCAUUCCACCCAGAACAAUAUGGCCCGCAGAAAAGCAACAGGGUAUACACUGAAUUAUAGGUCUAUUGUAUUCCAUAUUUAUAUUUUGCAGUGAUCUUAGAUCCGUUUUCUAAUAUUGAUCUCAACAUAAAUAUUCUUUUCCCAGGUAGUAACUUUUUAAGCCUUAGAGAUAUGUAUAAGCAUGCACUAGUGAAAAGAAAAAUGAUUCGCUUCUGUCGAUAAUUAGAAAACAACAUGGUCUUAAACUCUAUAGCAGAAUACUAGCGAAAAGAUUUGGAGAGCUUUGUUCUGUAAUCGUCGUUUUUCAAUAUGGUAUGUUCUCAGGUUGCUACAUUUCUAUUGUAUCUAACUGAUGUUGAGGAAGGGGGAGAAACUAUGUUCCCUUUUGAGGUGAGAGGAAGUAAAAGUUGUGCAGCAAUUUGUUAGAUCAUAUUACUGUUUAUGUAAGGGGCCUUUUCUCGCUUGUAGAAUGGUUCGAAUAUGGAUAUUGGCUAUGACUACGAGAAAUGUAUUGGUUUGAGGGUGAGGCCGAAGAGAGGUGAUGGUCUUCUUUUCUAUUCAAUGCUGGUGAAUGGCGCAAUUGAUCUGGUACGCACUGUUUUUCCGUGAACUCCUUUAUGAAUGCUUAAUUUUACUUACUACUCAUUUUACUUUCCGUCUUAAGAAAGCAAAUUAUAGUGGCAUAACCACGCUUGGUUCGCAUAAGAGUGAAUGACAAACAUGAUGAGUCUAUAGGAUGGGCUAGCUUAGUUUAUAACUCGCUCUAUUGUUACACUAUUUACAAUUUAAAAGAUAGAAGUAAAUAUUGUAAAAAAUCUGGGUUAUCUUUCAAUUUCAACCCUGUUUUCCAAAUUUUUGAGACAAAAAGUUUUAUCAUUCCAUAAACUUCUGCAGGAAAUUUUGUUUAUGAGUGAAUUCAUGAUGUUUUAUUAUGUAUUCAAAUUAGUGCUGCUACUUUUUCUUUUUUUUUCUUAUUAAGCUCCUAAAAAUUAUAAUAUCUGAUAUUUAAUAACCUUUUUUGGGAAUUUUUGUAGACAUCGCUUCACGGAAGUUGUCCGGUGAUAAAGGGCGAGAAAUGGGUCGCAACGAAAUGGUUAAGAGAUCAGAAACAGGACUAAAAUUGAUAAUCAUAGAUAUAUUUUUUUUGUUCACUGGACAAUAAUUAUUCAGCAGUUAUUUUGGGCAAUUAAAUGCCUCAUAUGUAUGUGCAGCUAAUAUCAAUUGAUCACAUGAAGCUCAUACAAGUUUGUAAGAUAUCAUUCUGUGAAAUGCAUCCUACUGAAAUUCUCAAAUUGUUAUAAUUUUCACAUUGUUAGUUACUUCUGGGUUUUUAUGUCCAGCUGAUUUUCUUACAUACAAACCCCCCAAAUUUUUUGUUUUUAGACAGUGAACUAAAUAUCAGAAAAGCAAGAUUUAGAGAAGGAUUAAGGUGAUCUAUGAAACACUAUUUUUCCUGCAAGUAUGUUAAGAUCAUAUGCCAGAUCUUUAUGAAAUUUAUAUGAAAAAAACUACGUUUAAAAGUGGGUGUAGAUCUUACUUUUCAUCUAUUCAAUGAUGAAUUAUUGUCCAUCAGUCAGAUGAUGUGAUUUGUUGAGUGAAUCCUAUCUUCGGAUGGGAUGAGUGUAAAUUUUAUACCACUUUUUGGGUGUAUAUUUAGCAUCGGUCUUAUUGUGAUUUCUAGUUUGAACUUUCACAAUUGUUGCAAUUAAAUUUUAUAAGCCAAUUUAACUGACUAAAAGCUAAUGCAUUGUUGAUAUGGAUGUGAUGUACUAUUUUAAUUUCUGAAGUAUCAUCAAUAAAAAUCCUGCCAUUGUACAUCACCGAUACGCUAAAAUUUAAUUAAUUAAAUUGAAUUGAUUGCAACAAUUUUAAAAGUUCGAAUAAAAAUUACAAUAAAUUAAAAUUUGAGGACUAAAGUGCCACUCGCCUCAUAGUUUGAGGACCAAAUAUGCAAUUUACCCUUAUAAUAAUCAAAGACGGUUUCAUGUCCACUAAUUAAAAGAUCAAAGAAUUAGAUACUAGAUCAGUUAAAAUAAUGAGAUAAGAGCAUAUUGCAUCAUUACGCAAUUGAUUGCUUUUCACUUUCCUAACUUUUACAAUUAGGUCUUUAUUAUCUACUAAUUAUUUUUGUUUUGAUUAAGAAGCUUGUUAAUCACUAAACAUCUAUUUUCUUUUAUAUAAUAUUAAUGUUUUAAGCGAUCUAAUAUAGUAUUUUUUGAGUACGUGAAUUAGCCAAUUAAUUUUUUUUAUAUUAAAAUGUUAACGCUUUCUAUGAUUAUUAUUUUUUUUUUAUAUAUAGUUGAUGUUUAACAAAUUUAUAUAACAUUUUAUAAGACGUGCCAACAAUAUAUAAAUACAACAAUAAAAAAAAAAACUUUUAUAUACUAAAAAAAAAAUUAUUAUCUAAUUUACUAAAAUAAACUUUUUUUUUAUAUAAAAAGAAUAUGAUUCUUCUAUUCCAACAAACCAACCCAAAUGCAAAAGGCGUUUUAUUGACUCGUCGUCCACCAUUCUCUCUCGCGACAAAAAAACAUAACCACGCUCAAUCUGACACCCUCUAUUUUUAUUUUUAUUUUUUUUUAACUUUAUCAUUCCCUUACUUUAAGGCUGCGCUUGAUUCGGAUAUAAAUAAAAAUCGCUUAUUUCAGAUAAAUAUAAAUACAAGUUUAUGUAUAUCGUGUGUGUGUGUAUAUAUAUAUAUAUACACACACACACACGAUAUAAUUAUCUUUAUCUCUUAUCAUUCACUGUGAACCAUUUGCAUUUUUUUUUGGUGCAACUAUUUUUACCUAUACCAAAAUAUUCUUAAAAUUAUUUUUAUUAUAAAUAGUUUGUGAGUAUUAUAUUAAAUUUUAAAAGAUUGAUAAUUUCAUCCUUUUUUGUAGAAGAUGUAAAACAUAUGUCGAAAUUUUAAAUUAACCAAAUAAGUAAAAUAAAAAUAAAAAAAAAUAUUUUUUAUUUUAUUUCUUACCAUCCAAACAUGUUUAUAUGAAAAUUAAUUUUCUUUUUUGUGAACCAAACAGCAUAGAUUAAAAAUUUUUUCACAAAAUUUUUUUUUCUCCGGAAAUAAUUCUUAAUUAUUUUUCAAGGAGCCAAACAGAUCCCAAGCAAGCAAANAAAAAAAAAAAAAAAAAAAAAUCAGGUGAGGCCCACCGCUGCAGUUAAUUCUCUUUCCGUGAACAGUGGCGGGUUUUAAUAGGGGGUGGUGCACUGUCAUGUUAAAAUCAAAUUAUUGAAUCUAAGCGAUUUGAUUUGGUCAAUAAGAUUCGAUUCGACCGAUUUUUUAAUUUAAAUAAUUUGAUUUGAUUCAAAAUUUUAAUUUUUGCUGUUCGAUUCGGAUGUCUAAUUUGAAAUCCGAACGGGUUGAAUUAACUAAUUAAAUGCAUCAAAUUAUUCUUUUAAGCUUAAAAUUAAGCUAUAAUAUUAUCUAUUUUUUAUAUACAGUCCAAUUAAUUUCGACUGAAAAUAAAAUUAUUAUAAAUUAAAUAAAUAAAAUUUGAAGUUGAGCCGGAAUGCUAUCAGUAGAAAACGAGAUACGUUGCCACCUAUUUGUUUUCAAUAAUAGAGUCUCCAAAUCGACAAUCGGCCCUGUUGAACAUCAUCUAUGCCAUUUAAAGCAUUUAGAAAUCAAAUUUUAUACUUUUUUAAUAUUUUUUUUUUUGUCCAUUAAGUGAACACAAAAAAUAAACGACUAAAAAUGAAUAUCCUUUAAAAAGUGAUGAUAAGAAUUUUGUAAUCAAGAUUAAGAGUACAGAUAUUGUUCUAAAUAGUUUAAAUAAUUUUCUAACAAUUAAACAAGGAAACAACUCAUAUCGAUCAUUAAAAUUAUAAAUUUUAAAAUAUUUUGAUCAUUAGGCUAAUAAUAUCGAAAAGAUUUGAAAUUUUAUUUUUACAUACUUCAAGUGGUAUAGAUAUGUUCAACAGUGUCGAUUAUCGAUUUAUCGGCUCUGUCAUUGAAAAUAAAUAGAUGAUAAAGUCUGCCUCCUACCUAUAGCAUUCCAACUUAAAUUAUAAAAUUGGAUAUAAAGAGGGAAAAUCACUAAACACUUUCGUGGAAACAAACUCGUCAAAGUCGUGGCGUUGCAGUUUCGGUCAUGCACCUCGUUUCCCACGACGUACGGCGGGCCCUACCUAAACACGCCUAAUCAAACCUCACGGCAACGGCGAAGGCGCGGGCCCCGUUUCUCUCUCUCUCAGGUCUUAGUACCAUGGACCCGGUUCACCGUAGACCGUCCGUUGUUGUAGGAAGCUGAUAUAAAAUUUUAAGCUCUAAAAAUAAUGAAGAAGUUAUUAAAAAAAUUUAAUUAAAUAAAAUUUUUAAUAAAUAAAAACACAAAAUAACACUCUAGGAUUCAGAUGGCACUCCAAAAGAGUUAUUAAAAGAUUUUAAUAUAAUAAUUCUUUUAAUAAGUAAUAAUACAGCUAAAAUAAUCCAUCAACAAAUAAUAUACUUCCUACUAAAUAAAAAAAAAAGAGAAAAAAAAAAGAAUAAAAUAAUUUUCUUUCUUCUUCUCAAAUUUUAAUACAAAAGAGAAGAAUACUUUUGGCACAAACUUUACAUAACGUAUGGGAUCAUUUCGAAUCUGCUAUCUAACAUUUCGAAAUUUUAAGUUUAUUAUUCAACUGUUCAAUUUGUUUGAUGUGAGCUCAUUUUAAGUUUUAAGUUUAAGCUAAAUACUUAUUUUAGUAAAUUUAUAACUAUAAAAAUUGCAUAAGCUAUAUUAAUAAAUCUGUAAACAUAAACGACAGACUCAAAUUUUUAAAGUCAAAGUAUGGUUGAUUGAUUCAAAUCAAAGAAAAUAAAAUGUUAGGUCGAAAUAAAUUUUUUUAAAAAAUUAAUUAGUCAAUUCAAAAUGCUCUAUAGUUUCAAUGGUUCAGAUUAGUUCCAUCAAUUUUGAUGAGCACCAUCUUUUUAGGUAAUUUAUUUAUUUUUCUAUUUCUAUCUCCAUCAAAUGGAGUCUAAAGUCUAAACUUGAAAAAGUGAGAUGUGAUGGACCAGGUCCAUGCACUAAUUUCUCUCUCUCUCCUUUUGACUGAAGACUCCCACUGAGAGAGAGAGAGAGAGAGAGAGAGAGAGAGAGUCCCUCUCUUGACCAUCAACUACGCCCACUACCACCUCCUCCAUUUCAAAAAGCUCCUCUUUUUCUCUUCUCCUCCCCCCCCAACCACCUCUCUCUCUCUCUCUCUCUCUCUCUCUCUCUCUCUCUCUCCCAUGGCGCCGCCUCCUCUUCUCCCCAUCGUCUCCUCCCUCGUCGUCGUCGUCCUCCUCCUCCUCUUCGCGCCCUCUCCGACCACCUCCACCAACUCCGAAGGUAACCUCUCUCUCUCUCUCUCACUCUCCGAUUUCGAUUGGAAUUAGAUCGAUGGUGACUAGGGUUUUUUCGACCGCAUCGGCAGGGGAAGCUCUCCACGCGCUCCGAACUCGCCUCUCCGACCCCACCAACGUGCUCCAGAGCUGGGACCCGACCCUCGUCAACCCCUGCACCUGGUUCCACGUCACCUGCAACGAUCGCAACCGCGUCAUACGCUUGUAAUUUGAUUAAUUAUCCAUCCCCCUCUCCCCCUUUUCGAUCUCAUUUUGCCCUAAUUUGAUGCUGAAAAGAUGAUCUUUUUUUUUUGGCGCUGAUUCUAGGGAUUUGGGGAAUUCCAACAUCUCCGGCACCCUCGGCCCCGAGCUCGGUCGCCUCGAACACCUCCAAUACCUGUAAAAUUCGCUUCAAAUUUUCCCACAAUUUGUUGAUUUGAUGCGAUUUUUGUCCCCGAAAUUGGAUUUUGAUCGAUGAGUAGGGUUUGAUUCUGAGCAGGGAGCUCUAUAGGAACAACUUUGAAGGGAAAAUCCCCGAGGAAUUGGGGAAUUUGAAGAACCUAAUUAGCAUGGAUCUUUACGGGAAUCGGCUUCAAGGGGAGAUUCCAAAGUCGUUUGCUAAAUUGAAGUCCCUGAGAUUUCUGUAAGUAACCUUGAAAAAUUUUUGCAUUUUUAAGAUUUUUUUUUUUCCAAAUUUUUUUUUUAGGGUUUGCAGCUCAUUUAGAAUCAUUUGAGUAAUAAUUUAUUCAGGGUGGAAUAGUCAUUUAAAUACACAGUUGAUUUGAGUAAAUUGAGCUAUUAGUCCUCAAACUUUCCACUGAAUUCAAUUUUAGUCCUCCAUCUGUAUGCCCUACACUCCGAAGUCAUUAAUCAUUUGUCCAUAGGGGUUCAAGGUCUCUAAUAUCGAACUUGAAAAUUUGGGGGCUACCGACCGUCACUAGAUCAAAUGGCAAAGGGUGGUUGGUAUCCGAAACCCAAGUUCGAAUUCUAGUUGAUUCACAUUCCCAGCUAAGUUUAUUUUUAAAUAAAAUAAACGAAGCGGGUAGCGUGCUACCUUUCUCUCUCAAAAAAAAAAAAAGGAAAAUUUGAGGACUAAAAUGAAACUUAGCCAAAAGUUUCGGGACUAGAGGUGCUAUUUACCCUAGUUAGUUUUUACUGGUCAAGAGGAAUAAGGGACAAAUCUAUAAUUUAGCUACUUUGCAGGGAUGUAGAGGCAAAUUUUCUCUUUAUUAGGCAAAUGAUCAAGUUAAGAAAAUAUACCUGUAAUCUUGUCUUAGCUGCAGAGAUGAUUGGAACAUUUGUGUUUAUUUUUCUCUCUUUUUUCUUCUGAUUUGUUCUAUUUGGCAACACAAGGCGCUUGAACAACAAUAAGCUUACGGGAUCGAUUCCGCGAGAGCUAGCCUCCCUCUCUAACCUGAAAGUCCUGUGAGUAAUCGUAAAUUUAAGAUGUAGCUCUUGUGUAUCGUAUGUCGAAUUCGCUAUUGAUUCGAUGCUAAAAAACUUUUAUUAUUAUGCAGCGAUUUGUCGAACAAUGAUCUUUGUGGAACCAUUCCUACUGAUGGCCCGUUUUCGACUUUCACCCUUCAGAGGUAAUGAAUUAAGCAGUCUCUUAUUUCAAUCCAGAUAUUGCCUUUGAUAAUUCCUUUGGGAGCAUUUUUUGGAUCCCUAUUUGAUCUCUCUUUUCAAACUUACAUACGAGUAGAGUGUUGCCGUGUUGCUAUAAUCAACUUGCGGAUGGAUUAUAAUGCCACUCGGUUCUUUGUUCCUGGCUUGUUUGAGAAUAAAUAUUUUUAUCAGACUAUUUAGGUAAAAUUAUGACCUCCAUACAUAGAUUAACUUUCCAAUUUCAUUUCUUGUCAUCUGCAAGAAAUGAUGGCUAUUCAAGAUUGUUGUUUUAGUCUGCAAAAUGCUUGUGAUUGUCACCAUUCAGUAGCAGUUAUAUGAUAUAAAGAUUACUAAGAACAUAAACGAGAUUGCUUUAGGGACAAUUGGCUGCAUAUCGGGUAUUUGGAGAUUUAACCAAGACUCUCAUGUCUUAGUGAACACAGUUAGGGCAACAACGGAUCUUUAUGUUUCCCCCUAGAAGCUGCAAAAUUUUUUAGUUUUACAAUUUAUUUGAGAAAAGCUCGUUGUCACCUCUGUUCUUAAUUUUACGAGGUUGGAAACAGAAGCAUGUAUUACAUAUGUAAAAUACGAAAGAGAAAAGAGGGGUCGGGCCGCCGGAAAUGUGAUAUUCUAGCAUUAUAAAAUAAUCUUUUUGUUAAACAAUGCAAUCAAGUUUCUUCUGUUUGAGAUUUCCAAAAAUAUCUUCUUUUUCAUUUCGGGCUUAAUUGAACCGAGAAUAACCCUCACUGCUGUGUAUGUAAAUUUUAUUCUCUUCUAUAUCAAAUGGAACUUAGUUGAUCAAUACCGGACAAUCUAUAUAUUUCAUCUUCUUUUUCUCUUCUGCAGCUUUGAGAACAACAGCAGACUCAACGGACCGGAACUCCAAGGCUUGGUGCCGUACGACUUUGGGUGUUGAAAUCGCGUAUUUGUAGUAACAUAAAUGAAUUAUCUAAAACCAAUAGCAAUCGACAAAAUUGCAUAGACUUAAAGGUUGUAGCAUAUUGGUAAGUGGUAACUGAGGCAUAGCCUUAUCUAAAGGUGUCUUACAUAGCAAAACUAUUUGAGGAUAAUGUAAAGUAUACGACCAUCACAUAUAUUGAUGAGAUUAUAUUAUAUAUAUGGCAUACUACAAAUAUCAGUGCUUAAUUUUCAACUGUAUGGUCUAGGGUUUAAGUACCCCUUGGUGAAUUCGCAGGUUCUGGUGUAGAGUUGAUGAAUUAGUCGCGUCUUGAUGUUAGAUCGUUCAUGCAUGCAGCUUAAUAUAAUUAGUGUUGAUGACUUGACUAUGAAAAAUAUUUAACUAGUGUUGAUGACUUAUUAUGGGAACAGUUGCUAGAGGUAAUAGAAGAUACAAACCAGAGUGGAUUUGUUCCUGUUGCAUGUGUACAGGUGGAAUUUAGUUGUGAUAAUCUUGUUGAGGUAUGUCUCCAUUUUUAACAGAAGGAAUCAAGUUACACAAAUGCUAACUCAGUCAGAUGCUGAGAGAAUGUGCAUGUAUUACGGGGGGGGUCUGUUUGGUGUUGGUGUUUGGUGGAGCUUAUAUAAAACUUGUUUAAGUAGAUCGAUGAAGCUAGUAGUUUUUGAUUUUUAAAUUAAAAUCUUAUUAAUAGCAUAAUGCUGCAGCAGAGACAGAAACUUCGAACCCAGCUAGAGCGAAGCGUAUGCUUUGAGCGAUUUGAUGACGCUGCUGCACCUAUUUCUCGGAGCAGCUGUAGUACAUCAAUUAUGACAAAAAUCCAUGUAGAGUAACACUCUCAAGUAACUUGAACAAUAGGCGAUCAAACAAUAUGACGUUAACCCAAAGAUGUAUACGAACAUAAACAGAAAGGGCAAGUCUCCAGUAAUUCGCACCAUAAGAAUGAAAAUGCAAAGGGAACAAAUACCUGAAACAUCAACUGCUCGGUUCUUCAAGAAGCAAUGCAAACAAAGUAAUGCAGCAUUCAUCUGAUGGACCCUCGCGUUUCGUCCAAGAAUAAUUGCAACUUCCGUUCUCAAAGAAUUUAAUUCUCCUUUGACCAUUGCAGACCGCAGAGCCAUUACUGUGGGAAAGAAUUCAUGGUUAUACCGAAAGUAAGAACACGUUGAAUAUUACGUACAAAGAAACAUAGUAAUAUCAACAAGAAUGCGCGCUCGCAUAUGGUGUCAGCACUAAGAAAUAAGCCUUGAAUCUCUUUGAAGGUUGGAUAGUUGGUUUGACAGAAUGUGCUUCUUCAAGCUAUUGUUUCUCUGAGCUUUGCCACAAUCUCUCAUACAGGCGAUGGAUCCACGGAGACUUCGACAUCUGAGGAUCAGUUUCAAGGGCUGCGAUAAGGUCCUCGAGAGAGAUGCGGCGUGUCUCUUCUAAGUUGGGGUGCUCUUCCUGCAUGCGAAAGUUGUGUGUGUGCAUGUUUCUUGGUACGCUACCGCCUAUAAGUUGGAUCAGCAUAAGUGGAUUGAAAUGGAAAUUAAAAAAAGAAAAUAGCAGCAAGAACACUGAAACGACAUACCUUUAUAUCAUCUACAUGAUAAUCUGAAAUCAGGGUAUGCCAAAGAAAAGAGAAAAAUAAAAGGCAUGAAGGAGAAUAAGUGCUCCUUUCUUGAGAAAAAAAGGGAGUAUUUAAUUCAACGUACAAGAUAGCACUGUGACUUAACAAAGAUCAUAUUUCGAGUAACAGCAAGAACAAGAUAUGAGCUAAAACAUUGUACAUAUGCUCUUCUAAACUUUUAAAUUCUAAGCAUACAAACGGCCAAUUUUCCAUUAUUUCAUGCAUACGCAGGUGUUUAUAGAAUUUUACGCAUCAUGACUGCAAAAACAUCAUGGUAAUACACAUACGUAUUCACAGUAGCAUGGACAUAGACUGCAGCGAUAGAAUAAUGAAUUAUCCACAGUACAGGCUUUCUAGCUCUAAAACAUCUUGUUAAGGUGCAUCUCUUUCUAUUAUUUAUCCAUCUUUGCGAUUAAAAUGGAGGAAUGAUCAUCUAGAAGCACCGAAGUUGGACCACGGACUAAUUAAUUAAUAUUGAGAUAAAAGUGAACGGACUAAUGAGUUAACAUCUACUGACAAAUGUAAUGCACUGGGCCUGACUGUUCCUUCUGGAGCUUCUGUAAAAAUGUUAUUUGAGCUGAGCUAUUCAAAGUAUUCCAACAGCUUCAAGAUGGAUUCCAGAGUUAAAGAUUCUACUUUUGAGUUCGAAAAGUUCAUUUUGGACAUUUUGCCAGAGCCAAAAGCUCUAGAUUUUCUGGUCAACAAAGUAAUGCACUCGCUUUUCGAGUGCAGUUUACCUGCUUGAGACAUAGAGUCCUUACCCAGCCCUUCACGUUUCUGUUGAGCUUCUUUAUACAUGAGUUGCCACCUUGAUGCCAGAUCAUUUCCUCCAACAGCAGCUCGCACAGCAACGUUCGCAGCUGUGACUUCGUCAUGUUUUUCCUGCAAGCAUUUUAAAUCAUUUCCUGGGUUUAAUCUGAGGUGUGUUCCAAACUGAGCGAAUUUAAAAAGUCUUAUGGUAGUCUUCAUCAUUAUCUUUUGCGGAACCAGAUAUUGUAUCACCUCUUGGCAUGUGCAAAUAGCAUAGGUCAUAUGCUAGUCAACAAUUCCUUAAGGAGGAUGUUUAAAUGACAAACACUAUGAAGAAAAUAACAAUGUAUCGCUACAAAAUUUUCCCAAAAACAACAUUGUUAGCUGACAACGAAUCACUAAUUAUUAUCCAUAGCUGGAAUCCAUUUUUUCCAGGAAGCCGUCUGAUUUAGAUCUAGAAAGGUGCAACUGUAAAGGAUGCUUGCAAAGUAUAAUGCCUUUUUCUAAUCCAUGUAGUUCAUUUCAGACAAUAUUGAGAUUCUGAAACUAAUGCAAAAACAAAGAGACUACUGACACAGUGGCCGUAUACCUCCAUACUCCCAGUGUUUCCCUAUAGGUUGAUAUAGUUUACACACAUCGAUUCAGAAAAUCAAUUAAAAAAGAUUCCAUCCGCUCAUGCAGCUAUUUUUAAAAAAAAAAAAAAAUAAAAACCAGAAAGGUACUUUGCUCUGCAACUAAACAUAUUUGAAAAACCAUUGGACAAAACAUCAAUCAGCUUUCUGGCUUUGAUGCUUCUUACGAUAAGAAGACUAAGUAUUAAUCACAAGGAAAACAAAGUAUCUCCGAAAAAAAAAAAAUCAAAAUUCAGGUGCCUCCUUGAAAAAAAAAACUCUUUUUUUUUCCUUUCUGGUCAAAUAAUUUUUCUUCGGAAAGAAAGAGGAAAUGUUGGGCCUCCAAUAUAUAUAUAUAUAAAAGAGCAUAUUACCAGUUGGAGCAACCUGAUGUAAAUUUUAAUGGUGAUUUAUGAAAUUCCGGUCACAUGCCUGUUGAUUUGCUUCUAUACCUCCUAUUGCUAUGAUUUGUUGAUCAAAGUUGAAGAAGUGAUGAGCUGUCUCUUGUCGACAUCUCUGCCAAGGUUCAUACAUGCAUAGAUAGUGAUGGGUUUCUCUUUGGUGGAUUGAAUUUGCAUUGUGCUUUGCUUUGGACUGCUAGUUGGUUUUGGUCUAACAAUGUGGAUUUGAUGUUGGUCUAGUUAGAAUUCUGAUUUUUGUGUGUCCAGCUAAGGUGUGUAAUUGGUGGCUUUUAGUUUUAUUAUAAAUCUUUGGAGCUGAUGCAGGAUUUCCUUUGCUUUAGUUGUGCUGGGCCUAACUGUAUAUAUCUGUAAUUUUCUCUCUGUUAGUUAUGUUUUCUCUUCGGGGGUUUCUCUCCCUGUUUAUACUCCAGGUGCCUCCUAACAAAUCAAAAUCUUAAGGAUUGAACAAAGUAAAAGGUGAAUAGAUAAGAUGGAUCACAAAGAUAAUAUGCUAACAAAACCUCCGCUCUAGUACAUGAAGGCACUCAGACUGCUUACCUUUCUUUGUGGCAGAAGCUCUUCAGCUACUUCAGCCUGUCUUCUAUCCCACUCCUCAGCUUUCUGGUUUAUUGACGCAAUCUCUUUCCGAAUGUCUCGUGUGAUAACUAUCUGAUGCUUCGUUUUUUCGAUAACAACCCUCUGCAAAACAGAAAAAAAAAAGAAAAAAAAAAGCACUGAGAUCAUUAUAUAAGAUACAUUGAGAGCAAACCGAUAUAAUGAAGACAACUCUACCUGUUUUGACAUUUUCCUUGCACGAGUUAUAAGUCUCAGUAAAUACUCCUCCACAGACUAAAGAAUGGGCUGAAGUAAGAUUUAAUAAGAUCAUCCACAAGUACAGAAUUCACUAAAGAGAAUCUAACCAAUGACAGGCAGCGCUCCGCCUCACUGCUUAUAUUCGUUAAACCGUAUUUUGACACCGUCAUAUGCAUUAGCCACGAGUCAAGUGGCGCUUCAAGAUUUCCAAGGCGACGCAGGCAAAAUUUCGACAGAAAAUGGAAAGCGGUACGAGCAGCUUAGCGAAAAAAGUAGUAACUGAUGUCUGCUAGUUUUUGCCGAAGAGGACCCUUGUUCAGAAACAACUCUUCUUCUCCUUCUUGUAGAACGUUUCUAGUUGCUUCUGAGGCCUGUGCCCCUUCCUGGGGGCCAGACAACAGCAGCUUUUCUUCUUCCUGUAAUUUUCAGAGAACAACUUAUUUAGAACGAAAAGGGCACGAAAUGAAUUUAAAUAAGUAAAUGCAUCAGAAGUUCAAGAACGGAAUGUCGUACCAUCAAAUUAAUACCGGUGACAGCUGCAAAGUUUUGGCCGAGAAAAUCCGGGGAUGUUCUGUUCUUUUCGGUAGGCGGACACAAAAUGAUUUCUACUAGUAGUUAACAGAACCAAAGCAUGAGGUUAAUCUUAGCCGAGGAAAACACGGUGUAAAUCCGCUUAUUAACCUAAACUCUAAAUAUUGUCCGAAUGGAUCUGUCGGGUACUAGAAAUGUUGGCAAAACUUCACAAGAAAUACGCCCCAGAUCAUUUUUCCUUCUCUCAUCCGACUAUUCUUUUUAAACAAAAAGAAACAGAAUACGCAGCAAGAAAAUCCUUGAUUGCAUUAAUUCCCUGAUUCGCUUUCGUAUUUCGCAUUGUUCUCCCACUAAGCAUCAUAAACAAUACGUUGUUGUGAACUUUUCCCCCUGAAAUUAUAGCCUCAUACACCACCAAAAAAUAUAUAUAUAUGAAGAAAAACUAAACACUAAUUAAGACUGAGCGAUCUCCCUAAUCACUGAUCUACAUAUAGAGAUCGAAGAACUGCUUAGAAUAUCCCGAAUAAAUCUUCGAUCUCUUCGGUUAAAUCAAACCUAAACAAGAAGAUCGCAUCAAACAGACCAAAAUAAUAGGCGGAAUCUAAAGGGAAUUAACACCGGAUUCGUCGGAGGGGGCGGCGCCUUCGAUAUCCCGACGCGGCGUGUCGACGACGAGCGGCGCCACCACGGCGGGAGGAAACGCGCGCUCGUCGUACUCCUACAACACCAAUUUUAGGGCAAAGCGAUGCAUGUAAACACCCCCGAUCAUCUUCUAGGGCAAGAAACGGCCAUUAGGGUUCGCACUAGGAUGAGGAGAGCGAAGGAUAUUACGUACUUCCUCGUCCUCGGAGAGGUGAUCCAUGGCGAGGGUUUGAGGAAGGGGAAGGAGAUUUGAAUCUGAGGACUGAGGAAGCGCUUGGCGGGUUCGCAUUUACAGGGGCUCGCACGUGCACGAUGCACGUGAUGGACAACCACUUCAGCCAAUUGAAAUUUCCCGGCACCGGGCCCACCACAGUAAUUAAAAAAAAAAAAAACCUUCAAAUACUAUUCCGACGGUUUCGCACCUUUUUAUUUUAGUAUUCUAUAAUUUAAAAUAUAUUAAUUUAAUAUUUUGUAAUUUUAUUUUUAUUUUUUUAUUAUUAAUUUUAUUAAUUUUUUCGUUAAAUCAGUGACAAAGUUAAAACUAAAGGGUACUAAAAUAAAUAUUUGAUAAAUUUAGGUGGGGUAUCUGAAAUUUUUUUGUAUAUAAUUUAGCGAAAUAUUAACAAAAAAAUAAACGAAAAAAUAAAAAUGAAACCACAAGACACUAACUUUAUAUAUGUUAAACCACAGAAUACUAAAGUCAGAAAGUGCAAAACCACAUGUGUGAUUUUUAAAAUUUAUCCUUUAAAAAAAAGAUUUUUGCUUAUUUAUCACUUCCUACUAUACAAAAUUUUAGUUAUAAUAUAAUUUUUAAAAAAAGGACAAGACUAGUGAGGUGAUUCUAUCCGCCCAAAGGUCUAGUUGUACAACUUUUUUUUUUUUGGUGUAAAUCUUACAUUCAAGCUAUACAAGAAUUUAGACUUAGAUUUUUUUUAUAGAGUAAACUUCAAUGAGAUAUGGCUCAUUUUCAAUUUGUCAUCUAGUAAUUCAAAAAAUUACAUUUGAUUAUUUUAUAAUUUUAUUUUUGUUUCAACACAAAAGCACAUUGUAAAAUAGGGUAGUAAAUAAAUAUUUGAAAAAUCUGGGAGAGAUAUUUUGUUUAACAACAGGUUCUUAUAGUGAAACAAAAAUAAAAUCACAAAAUAGUUAAAUAUAAUUUUUUGAACCAUAAAAUGACAAAGUGAAAAUGCAUUAUACCACCAAAUAGUUAAGCCGAAUGUUUAAAAUUAUGACCGACCAUCCCUAUCGCAAGUAGUAAAGGACUAGGUGGUUAAUAUCCAAGAUCUCAAGUUCAAACCCUAGUUGAUUCAUAUUUCUAGCUAAACUUGUUUCAAAUGAAAUAAACGAAACGGAAAGCAUGCUACCUAUCUCUCUCUCAAAAAAUAGAAAAAUGUUUUAAAUUAUGGAAUAACAAAGUGAGAAUACACUAUACCAUAAUAAAAGGGCAAAUUAAAAUUUAUCCUUUUUAAUAUUAAAAAAAAAAAAGUGAUAAGACUACCAUGAAAAUCCAGCCUUUGAGUAGAGAGGGUCUAUGAUUAUCUUUCUCAAUCAGCUGUAAAAGCCAGUCGGGGUGAAACAGUAAACUUUUGAGUAAUAGAUGACACUCUUGCACCUGUUUCUCAAAGUAGCAAACCACUGAACCAUAAGAAUUAUGCCAAAAAUCAUAACUUCAAGCAACUGAUGGUCAAGUAAAAUGGCUACUAAUGUUCGCGGAAAAGAAAAGAUAGUUUAAUAGUAAUUAGCACCAUAAAAAUAAAAAGAGAAGGGAAGAAAUACCUGAAAAUUGCACACAUUCUGUCCUCUGUUUAAUCAACAGCCAAAGCUUAAAGAUUAGGAUGCAUUAGGCGUCGCCUAAACAAACAGCAGUAGAUUGUAAACUAAAACACCAGAAACAACGCCAUCGAGGUAGCUCAUUCAUCAAAUGGACCCCAGUUUCAUCUGAGGAAAUUCUCAACCGUAAUUCUCAAAGAAUUCAUUUCUCCUUUGAUCAUUGCAGACUGCAGAGCCAUCACUGUACGAAAGAAUUCACGGUCGUCCUGAAUAUUAUGUACAAAGAAAAAUAUCAACAUGAAUGUGCGUUUGCAUAUGGUGUCAGCCUGAAAAUGAGCCUCGAAUCUCUCUGAAGGUUGCAUAGGUGGUUUAACAAGAAUGUGCUUCUACAAGCUAUUGUUUUUUUGAGCUUUGCCGCCGUCUCUCACACAGGCCACGGAUCCACAGAUUCUUUGACUCAUCAGGCUCACUUUCGAGGGCUGUGAUCAAAUCGUCGAGAGUGAUGUGGAACGUCUCUUCUAAGUUGGGUUGCCCUUCAAGCAAUUGAAAGUAGUCAGUUUGAAUAUUUCUCAGUAUGCGACCAUCUAGAAAUUGGUUCAGAAUAAGUGGAUUGAAAUGGAAAUGGAAAAAAUAUAGCAAAUAGGGGAAUUACAGGCCACUAUAUCAAGUAUCUAAAAGAUAAUUUGAAAUCAGGGUAUGUGAAAGAAAGAAGUAAAAUAAAAGGUAUGAAGAAGAAAGAGACCUCCUUUCUUGAGAGAAAAAGAGAGGAGAAUUUAAUUGAUAUUCACAAUGGCAUUGUAACUUCACAAAGUUCACAUAUGACUAACAGUAAGAACCAGAUAUGAGCUAAAAAAAGUGUACAUACACUUUUCUAAUUUCUAAAUUCUAAGCAUAUAAGUGGCCAAUUUUUCCAUUGUUUCAUGCAUAUGCAGGUGUGUUUAUAGAAUUGUAUGCAUCAUCUCUGCAGAAACUUUGUUGCAAUAACCAUAUAGUUGCAUUGACAUACAUUGUAGCAAAAGAAGAAUGAAUUAUGCACUGAAUAUAUCAUUCACUGAGUAGAUUUUCCAGCUGUAGAACAUCUUGCUUAAGUGCAUCUCAUUCUACCAUUUUUCCAUCUUUAUGAAUAAGGAGGGAUGAUCGUCUAUCACCAAAGUUGGACCACAGACUAAUUAAUUAAUAUAGAGACAAUGUAAAAGGAACUGAGUUAACAUCUACAGAUAAAUGUUAUGCACUCUGGGCCUGACUUCCUUCUGAAGCUUCUCGAGAAGGGUUGUUUGAGUAAAACUAUUAAAAGUAGUCCAACAGCUUCUUUGAUAAAUCCUUGAGAUGGCAUUCCAAAGUUAGAGAUUCUGCUUUCGGGUUCAAAAUGCUCAUUUUGGCAUUUUGCCACAGCCAAAGGCACUAGAGUUUCAAGAUACCAAAAUAAUGGAUUCUGCUUUCCGAGCGCAGCUUACCUGCUUGAGAUGUGAAGUCCUUAAUCAGCCCUUCAUGUUUCUGUUGAGUUUGUUCAGACAUUAGUUGCCAAUUUGACGCCAGAUAAUCUCCAUCAACAGCAGCUCGCUCAGCAACAUUUCCAGCUGUUCUCCAAUUAUUGACUUUCUCCUCGUUUUUCUGUAAGCAUUUUAAAUUAUUUCCUGGGUUUUUAAUCUGAGGGGAGUGCUCCAAACUGAACCACCUUAAAAUUCUUAUGGCAGUCUUCAUCCUAAUCUUUUGCGGAACCAGCUACUGUACCACCUCUUUGCAUAUACAGACAGCAUAGGUCACAAAUGUUUUGCUAGUAAACAAUUGCUGAAGGAGGAUGUUUAAAUGACAAACACUUUUAAAUAAGUAAUGUAUCGGUGCAUAAAAUUCACAAAAAUAGCAUUGUUAAUUGACACCACUCACUAAUUAUUAUCCAGAAUUGAUAUCCAUAUUUGCAGGAAGCUCAUUUUUUUUUCAAGUGCUUGAAUCUGAUUCAGAUAGCAAGGGAUGCAUGCAAGUAAAGUACCUUUUGUUCAUAGCAUGCAAGUACAAUAGUUCUGUUAAUACAUGUACUUCAAUAUAGAUGACAUUGAGAUUCUGAAACUAGUGCCUACCAGAAAACAAGCAAUCUACUAACGCACUGGCCGUACACCUCUAUAGUUCCCAGGGUUUCCCUAUAACUUGAUAUAUUUUGUACACAUCGACUCAGAAAAAUCAAUUAACAAAGAUUCCAUCCAGUCAAUGCAACUAAUUAUUUUUUUUAACCUAAAGUUACUUUGUUCUGCAAUUAAACCAACUUGUAAAACCAUGGGACAAAGCAUUUAAUCAAUCUCUGGGUUCGAUGUUUCUUACAGUAAGAAGAUUAUGUAUUAAUAGCAAGAUAAACAAACUGGCUCAGAAAUAAAGUUAAAAAAUUCAGGUGCAUUCUGACAAAUCAGAAUCUGAAGGCAAUAAUACAGCAUGGAUUGAAGACUGAAUCACAAAGAUGAUAUGCUUACAAAGACUCCACCGAAGUGCAAGACACUCAAACUGCUUACGUUUCUUUGUGGCAGAAGCUCUUGAGCUUUCUGGUCUAUUGAUACAAUCUUAUUUUGAAUGUCUGGAGCGGUAACAAUCUGAUGACUUGCUUUUUCGAGAUCAACCCUCUGUGAACAAAAAAAUUGCACUGAUUAUAUUAUAUCAGAUACAUUGAGAGCAAACCAAUAUAAUGAAGGCAUGUCUACCUGUUUUGCUAUUUCUAUCGCACCAUUUAACAAUCUCCGUAAAUACUCCUCUGCACCCUAAAGAAUGGACUGAAGUAAGAUUUAAUAAGAUCAUCCACAAGGAUGGAAUUUGCUAAAGAGAAUCUAACCAAUGACAGGCAGCGCUCCGCCUCACUGCUUAUAUUCGUUAAACCAUAUUUUGACACUGUCAUAUGCAUUAGCUACGAGUCAAGUGACGCUUUAAGAUUUCCAAGGCAACGCAGGCAAAAUUUGGACAGCAAAUGGAAAGCGGUAUGAGCAGCUUAGCAAAAAAGUAGUAACUGAUGUCUGCUAGUUUUUGCCGAAGAGGACCCUUGUUCAGAAACAAUUCUUCUUCUUCUUGUACAACGUUUCUAGUUGCUUCUGAGGACUGCGCCCCUUCCUGGAGGCGAGACAACAGCAGCUUUUCUUCUUCCUGUAAUUUUCAGAGAACAACUUAUUUCAAAAUAAAAGGAACAACCGGCAUACAUAGACACAGAAUUUAAUAAGUAAAUGCAUCAGAAGUUCAAGAAUCAAAUGUCGUACCGUCAAAUUAAUAGUGGUGGCAGCUGCAAUGUUUUGGCCAAGAAAAUCACCGGAUGUUCUGUGCUUUUUCCUUUGUGGACCCAAAAUGUUUUCUACUAGUUGUUAACAGAACCAAAAGCAUGAGGUUAACCUUAGUCAAAGAAAACACAGUAUAAAACCAUGCUGCUCUCAAGGCCCCAAAAAGGCCUAACCUAAACUAAACUCUAAGCCUAAGGGCUUGUUUGGUUCAUCUAUUUUAGACUAUGGAGUCGGAAUAGGAUUCAUUGAUUCCGAUAGUUGUUGUUUGUUUCGUAGGAAUCAUAUUCUAAUUCUCAUUCCAAUAUAGAAUAGGAAUGGCUCAAUCCGACUUUGAAUUCCGGGUUGGCCUAGUCAAAAGUAAAUCACUCAAAGCUCUCUCUCACAAACGCCUCCCCCCUCUUCUCUUCUCAUCACUCCUCUCUCUUUUAAUCAAAGCCUUCUCUCAAAAUUCUAGAUGUCUAUUCCAAUUUCCAUUCCAAUAAUAAACUAAGGGCACCUUUGGUUCAGAAAAGGAAUCGAAAUCAGAAUAGGAAUGGAAAGGGGUCGGAAUCAAAAACGAAAUGAUAAAAACAAUAAUUUGUUUGGUUCAUAAGAGGAAUUGGAAUCGAAAUCAGAAUCAUGUCCAAAUUGAAAUUCAAAAAAUUACCUUUUUAUUAUAAUUUAAAGUUGUUAUUCAAAUUUUUAAUCAAAAUUUGAAUUUACAAUUUAAACCUAAAAUUUGAAUUUAUAAUUCAAAAUUAAGGUCAAAGUCAAAGUUUAAAUUUAAAACUAUAAAUUAAAAUUUAAGUAAUUAAAAUUAAAUUUUAAAUUCAUAUUUCAAAUCCAAAUUUGAAAUUAUUAUUUAAUCUACUGUAUUUAUAUGAUUUAUAUUUAAUUUUAAAUAAUUAUUAGACGAAAAAAUCUUUUCUCAAUUACUCUGGAAUCAAAGUCAACUCCCACCGUAGAGCGGGAGUCAGUUUUGAAGAAUUCAAAGCCCCUAGAAUGGGAAUCGAAAUGCCAAUCCCGCAAUCCAAAGACUAACAAUAGAAAUGACUUAUUUCCAAUUUCCAUUCCAAGUCUCAAAUACUUCAAACUAAACAUGCCCUAAAUAUUUCUGGAUGGUUCGUCAUUAAAUUUCCCAUUGCAAUACAAUCUAAUUUCAUUUUUCAUUUCUAAUCCAAUCAUAAACCAAACACGUCCUAAAUCUUAUCUGAAUGGAUUAGUCGGCACUAGAAAUGUUGGGAAAAGUUGACAAGAACUACAUCCACCAAAUCAAAAAUUUCUUUUUUAACUCCUACCCUUCUUAAAGAAUAAGAAAAAGGAACAAGAAUAUACAGCAAGGAAAACCUUGAUUACUUCAAUUCCCUGUUUCCUUUUCGUACUUCACAUUUUUCUGAACUUUGGUCGCCGAAAAUUAUAGGCUUUAUACACCAGCACCCCACAACCCACCCCCAAUCAAGACAUAGCAAUCUCGCUAAUCACUAAUCUACAUCUAGAGAUGGAAUUAUUACAGCAUCCCUAAUCACUCUUCGAUCUCUUCGCAUAACUCGAACCUAAUCAAGAAAAUCUCAUCAAAUAGAUUAAAAAUAAUAGACGGAUUCUUACGGGAACUAGCGUCGGAUCCAUCAGCACCGGCGGCGGAGGUGGAGGCGGCCGUGCCUAUGAUCUCCCGAGACACCAGCACCCCACAACCCAUCCCCAAUCAAGACAUAGCAAUCUCGCUAAUCACUAAUCUACAUCUAGAGAUGGAAUUAUUUACAGCAUCCCUAAUCACUCUUCGAUCUCUUCGCAUAACUCGAACCUAAUCAAGAAAAUCUCAUCAAAUAGAUUAAAAAUAAUAGACGGAUUCUUACGGGAACUAGCGUCGGAUCCAUCAGCGCCGGCGGCGGAGGUGGAGGCGGCCGUGCCUAUGAUCUCCCGACGCAGCGUCUCGGCAUACGCCGCAACCACUGCGGGAGGAAACGCGCUCUCGUCGUACUCCUACAACACCAAUUUUAGGGCAGAGAGAUGCAUGUAAACCCCCUCCUCCCCCGAUCAUCUUCUAGGGCAAGAAACGGCCAUUAGGGUUCGCACUAGCUGAGGAGGGCGAAGGAGAGUACGUACAUCGUCGUCCUUGGGGGAGAGCCCUGAGAAGGGAUCCAUGGCGAGGGUUUUGGAGGAAGGGGAGCGAGAGUGGAUGGCGGGAAAGGGAAUCGAUCGAACCUGAGGAGUCCUUUUAGGCCGUUGCCCGUUGGUAUUUAUAGGGCCUCGCACGUGCACGACUCACGAGAUGGACUCGGGGCUCGCACGUGCGCGAUGCACGCGAUGGAAUUGGCCUAAGUCAAUUAAAUUUAUUUUUGGAUAAAAUUCGAAUACCACACCUAUAGUUUUGUACUUUCUCUUAGUAUUCUAUAGUUUAAAUCAUAUCUAUUUAGUAUUCUAUAAUUUAUUUUUUUUUUCGUCAAUCCGUCCGUUAACUUUUUGUUAAAUCACAUACAAAAAACUUCAAAUUUUCCAUCUAUAGUUUAUUGAAUAUUCACUUUAGUACCCUUUAGUUUUAACUUGAUUACUGGUUUAACGAAAAAAAUUAGUGAAGCAAAUAACAAAAAGAAAAAAAAAAAACUACAGGGUGUAAAAGUAGUACACUUUAUAUUAUAGAGUACUAAAGUGAGAAAAUACAAAACUAUAUGAAUGGUAUUUGAAGUUUUUUUAAAUUUUUUUUAGAUAAAAAUAUAACAAAUAUUUACGUUUUUGGGUUAUAAUUUGGGAGCAUAAAUGAUAUAAUGCAAGUGUUCUAUUCUAAAUUUUUUCCAAGUUACGUUUUUUUGGACUGAACGGCGAAUUUUCUUUUUCCAGGCUCACCACAUCAGCGGUUGUAAUAAAAAGAUAAUGUUAAUAGACGCGUAGAAUUAGUAAGUUUUCAUUAGUUAAAACAUAUCAUUCAUUUUUAUUCAGUUGAAUUUUAUAGCAAUCUCUUGAACAGUACGGAUGGUGUAAUUUUACGUGUGUAUUAUUGUGCUUAGGCAUAGUAAAAUUUUAUAUAAAAAAAAUACGAAAGCAAUAGAUAGCCUUCUUUCGAGAAUAUCUUUUCUAUCAUAAUUAUUCCUAUAAUAGCCUCAUAAAGAUAUAUGUGUCAUACAAAAAUAUUAUAAAUGUAUUUUUUAAAUAUUAUUUUACAAUUGUUUUUUAUUACAUUUUUUUUUACUAUCUCAUGUGAGACAAUACAAUUAAUUUGCAUACGUAUUUUAUAAAAUAAAUAAAUAAAUAAAUAUAUAUAUAUAUGUACCACAAGGAAAAUUUCAGGGAAAAAAAGGAAAUAGAUAUAGCAUUGUAGUAUGUAUUAUGAUUAUAUAUAUUCUCUGUGGGCAUUGAUUGCUUCCAUUGUAGUAAAAAACAUAGACAAAUUUAGCAUAUGAAGGAACGGGAGUUAUUUAAUGGUCUUAAAUUAUGCUCCUCCCAUCGUUCUUAAAUUUUAUUACAACUAACUUCUAUAUAUGCUAAAUACAAGAAAAAACACAAGUCAAAUUUCACUGGAAAAAGGAAAAAACAAAUAUAUGUGGCAUUAGUAGCUAUUUAUAAUAUUGUAGUGUUAAUUACACCAAUUUGGCAUGUAAAAAAUAAAAAAAGAAAUAGUUAUUAAAUGCUGAUUNAAGUCCUCUCCAUGGACAAGUCUCCCAGACUUAACAGCGGAAUACCAAUCCAAGCAUUUUGCCAAGCUUGCUCCUCCGCGAGACUUACAGCCCGACCUUUCGCCUGUAAUCGAACCCCUCGUCGGACUCCUCGAGUUCCCAACGAGCAACCCCAAUACCGAGGUUGGCCACCAAGCUAGGUGCAUCCCGUCUUGCCAACCGAUCUUUCCUCGAGAGUGCUUCAUAACCGAAUGCCUUGUUGCCUCUGUCACUAGCCCCAAGGACAUUACAAGUUCUCCCCAACUUGUCCCAUAUGAGUAUAGCCAAGCGUCUCGCCUCCCCCGCGUUUCGCUCCCGCGACUCAAUCUGCAUGCCUCAAGCGUCGAGGUCCGGGCUUCGCGACAUCGCAUGCCACGAAGGGCACUCAUAACCAUAAGUUCCUCACUAUUGUGUCUCAUGCGCCUGACAACGUCCAUGGCCAUACCGCCUACGUGGCCUGCUCGCUCGGUCCAACGGCUUACCUCCGAAAAGCCACCCAAGUGUGCGCCACAAGCUCGCUUGUCCCCAACAUCAGCACCUCAGCAUGACACCCCGCACGUCCAUGCUUCGCACCUUGGUGCUUCGCAUCCGACCCGUGCGGCCCUCGUGUCCCAUCGCUCCUGACCAGGGAACGAACAAGUCCACACCGUGCUUCUCGACCGUCUCAACAACCCUCGCUUUGCCACGGCGCUCCGCGCCCUUAACUUCCAUAGGUUCGCCUCAUAAGGCCCCAUACAAACGAACCGGCCUUGCUCCGCAUCGCUAGCCACUGGCCCCGUCUUUGGCUUGGCCACGCCUGGCCGCUCACAUCAUUGGUCCAGUCUCUCAAGGUUCACUAUACGGAUACCGAUAUCGCUUGCCUUAUUGGGUUCCGCCCCUCGAGUCUCGUAGGUCACCCACCUUACGAAUUCUCCCUCGGCGUGCCUCCCUUUAGCGUUCCUAUUGAGUCUUGCCUCCUUGGCCUUCGUGGGCGCCGCGCCCCACGAAUCCCCGCUCGGCACAUUUGCCUUCGCGAGCCUUGUCCUUUACGGAGGACUAUCCGUCGCUAGGCUGUUCCUUAUCCACUCGUACGCUCCACUACAGAGAUCCAAGCCGGCAUAAGGUAGCACAAGCGAUCCUAGGGAGGAAGCCUCCCGGUAUUCCCCGCUUCCGUAAUGUCGUCGACCUCUCGCAUCUCCGACAUUACCCUAGGCCCGUGUCCCUUCAACCGUCCACUAACUGGCUACACGGAACGCUAGGUUUGGCUACUCCGCUAGCCAAGGGACGACCCAUGUCCUAUGGGUCGACGGGGGAGUCGGGGCCACUUACGAAGUGUCCACCCCUCCUCUAAUACCCUUACGAGGCAGAGUCGUACUCACUUUGGCACCGGGCGCCGGGUACAAAGUGCUCGCACGCAGGGUACGUUUUCCAAAUCCGGCAUGUGGCACCUGUUUCCAUGUCAUGGCACAGGGCCAUUGCUAGGGAAUUGCUCCGGUUGACUUGACAGGGCGGGGGAAGACUCCUACCUGACGGAAGCCCAACUAGUGACUCCGCAACUCUAUAAUUUCGUCACGCCAAGGGGGGGAACCAUGCCUACACAAAUGGAUCGGCCCCCGCAGAAGGUAGUCACGGGUCGAGUUCAGCAGGCGAUCGACGCGGCCACGAGACCGCCACGCGGCGCGCGGGCACGGGCAUGGGCGCGCUGGGAGCGUGUGCGACGGGGGCGUGGGGCGCCGGCCCCCGCACGACGCGGGCGAGCGGGCACCUCGCUGCCGGCCACGGGCCCGGAAGGGCGAGCGGGAGCAAGCAUACCAGGCGGGGUGGCCGGGGUGGGCGGGGCACGGGGCGGGCUGCAGGCGGACCGUAGGGGCGAGGGGCGCCGGUGCGAAGCGGCGAGCGGCGGGUCAUGGACCGAGAAAAAUCGCGGCUGCAUGGUUUCAGAACCCAAGCUCCAACAGGGCCACUCGGUCUCGUGACCACAUAAAGGACCUAAUCUCGUCUAUCCUCUCAUCAUGCAGGGCUUCUCCGCUGACACAUUCUCGUCUUACCUUGGAUCUCAUCACCCCAUACCAAAGAUCCGUCUCUGCUCUAACAUAUAUAAAUUAGUAUAUUAUAUUUAUAUAUAGUAAUUGAGGUUAGAGACAUUUUUGAGUAGCAAGUCCCUUGGUGCUUCUAGUUUUCUAGCCUUGGAUUUACCUUUCUUGAUUACUAAUAGCCCUUCUGAUCAAAAUUAUUCCACCUACCCUACCUACACUUCAUCAUCUCAAUCCCUAGCCGUCUCUUCCAUCCAAUGGCUAAAAACUAGGGAGAAGACAAACACCACUCUCAUUGGUGCUUUUGGGAGUAGAUUCUAGCUCAACUCUCUCCCGCUCAAUCAUACAAACACACACUAUAAAUACUAGCUAACAUAGUGAAAGAAAACACGCGAGCCCGCCAGGCCGGCCGGCGUCCGGUCAGAGCUGAACAAAGAUACAAGCAAGAGCACGCACCGGCGGCUCCGGCCUUCAUAUCACGUGUCACGGCUCCAUCUCGUCACUAUAUAUAUAUAUAUAUUAUAUAAACAAUUUUAUUUAUAUUUAUAUUCAUUUUAUUAUAUGUAGUUUUUAUGUUUUAUAUAUGAUAUAUAUAUUAAAUAAUAAUUUAUUUAUAAAUUUAUAAUUAUUUAAUAAUAUUUUUAAUAUAUGACUUUAUAUAUCAUGUUUAUUAUAGUUUUAAAUAUAUUUAUUUUAUAUUAUCUCGGCGCCCGCCGUGCGUAAGCUUGCGAUUUUUUUUUUGUUCUUUUUUUUCUGUAGGACCCAUGCCUCUCUGCAUCUUUUGCUUUUUUUCAAUGCACCGUUUCUAACUUUCUUAUUUUGUGAUGUUCUUGAUCACAUACAAAAAAUAAAAUUUUAAAUUUAAAUUUAUAAUUUAAAUUAAAAUUAAAAUUAAAAUUUUAAAUCAAAUCUAUUCUUAUUUUGAUAGGUUGUGGGCCGUAUAUAGAAAUUAAAAUUUUAUAUUUAAAGUUAUGAAUUGGGAAACAAAAAUUGUACGGCAGUCCUCUCCGUGUUAAAAUAACUACCCGCAGCAUCGCGCGGGUCCCUUAACUAGUAUUAUGUAAUCCAAAAGCAAAAAUUUUUGCAAUUUAUCAAAAAAAAUAUUUACGCUGCCAAUUAUGAAUAUAUUUUUUUUAAAAAAAUAGAUAGUACUCUAUCUGCUUUAUUCAUUUUAUUUAAAAAUAAAUUUAGCUGAAAAUAUGAAUCAACUAGAAUUUGAAUUUAAAAUCUCGGAUAUAAACCGUAAUGUAUUGCCACUUGCACUCGAAAAGUUUGGCGCUAGUAAUCAAUACAUAUAUUAAAGGCUCAGUUUUACUGUGGCCUAAGUGGCGCUUUCUCAGCGCCCCCGCUUGCUCCGCGUUGCAAUAAUGAAUAUUCAGGCAAGGUCGCUGGUGCCACGUGGACCGAAAGGGUGUGAAAAGGGUUCACGAUCCGAAGGAGUUUAAGGAUUGGAUUUGAUUCUUAUAUAUUCUUUCUGUGCCCGGUGCAUACACAGCACAUGGUGCACUGCCUAAUCUCCGGCACCGAAUAGCCAGCGAUUCGAUGACGUGGUGCACCGAGUUCAGCCAAUUAAUUAGUUUCUCGAAUUUUGACUCGGACAAGGAAGUCGACUGACACACUAGCCUUUUCUUUUUAUAUUUAUUUAUUCUUUAAUUUUGUCUUUUCGCCCCUUUCUUCCUGUGUCCUUGUGGAUUCUGAUCUUUCCUCUUUAUUUUCUACUAGAGGCCGCAUUGAUAAAUGCUACCACAAGAUUACGAUUUACGAGCCACGCCCACAUCCACGUCCACCGGGAUAACGCACUAAGUACAGUGUAUACCAGCAAUGUCGGAUCCAGCAGGAGUUCCAUCCGCCGACGCCGCCGUCGACGCCGUCGCCGCUGCGGAGGAGGAUGUCCCGGUCCCGAUGGGGGUGGCGCACCCUCCUGCUCUCGGCGGGGCGGAGGAGGAGUUGGUGUUCCGCGUGGGGUGCCGCACCCUCCUCCUCUCGGCGACCGCCCUCAUCUACGCCCUCGCAGUCGCCGGGGACCCGACGCUGCCGGUGCCCGCCUGCCACCUCCUCCUCCUCUUCCUGCUCUGGGCGCUCGCCCUCGGGCUCGUCUACGCGUCGACGGCGGAGCUCCGCCGGUUCCCGCGCGGCGUGGUGGUGGCGGCAGUGGCGGUGGCGCGGGCGCUCCACCGCCUCCUCUGGGAGCAGCGGCGGUGACGAGGCCUCGACGGAUCAUCUUCGACAGAGGUGAAACUUUACAAACCUAACUCGAUCUAUCUCUCGAUCAUCCUCCAUCUCUCUCUCUCUCUCUCUCUCUCUCUCUCUCUAUAUAUAUAUAUAUGUGUGUGUCAGUGUGUGCGCACGCGCGCGCGUAUGUGUGUUUGUGUGUGUGUGUCGUACGUUUGUGUGUUCUAUGUGUGCGAUGUUUUAUAUCUUCUUAUGCAUGAUUUCUUCCUCUUCUUCUUUGUGGUACUGUAUAUAUAUGGAAUGUUAUAGAGGAGAUUUAAUAUCAAAUUAUGAUAAUAUAUAUGUAUAUUUUUAUACAUACUACUAUCAAAGUCUGGAUUUUUUCCUUUGUUCAAGUGAAUGAAAUGGAAUCGGAUCAAGACCAGCUAUAGUCUCUUCUUCUUCUUCUGGUUCCUUCUUUUUUUUUCCCUUUUUUUUUAUGGCCUUCUUGGACGCAAGUUAUAAAUAAGGGCUAGGCCCUUUAUAUAAGGUGUCUAUGUUCAUGAUAUUGAUGAAGACAAUGGAUUAAUUAUUACAAAAGAAAGUAGAGAAGAAAAAGAAAAGGAACCAAUUAAGAAGAUAUAUACACAAAAGUUAAGCACGGAUGAGUAUCUAUCUAUCAUUCUAUCUAUCUAUCCUAGGAUUAAGAACCUCUGAUCCAACUAAAAUCGCCGCAAAUAAGCAUCGGAAAUUAUACAACCUGGAAAUUAAUCAACAAACCUCCACAAAUAUAUAUAUGAAAUUCACUCCAUCAGCUCCGGGGCGAAAAUGAAGUUAUAAAUGCUUGUUCUCCGAACAUCCUGUGCGAAGUGCACGCAGUCUCAUAUAUAGUAGAAGGCGUUGUAGUGCAGCAAAGAAAGAACACAAGCGUGCAAGGUGGGGAAGGGGUGUGGGAUCGAUGCAUAUUUGGUGAUUACUACUACAUUGAAGCUCUUAAUUACCUUCCCUUUACUCUCAUUAAUUAUUUCUUCCUCUUCUUCUACUACUACUCCUACUUCUCCUUCUUCCACUUCUCCUUAUUCUCCUCUUCUUCCUUUUUCGUUUUAUCGAUCGUUAUCCUCCUCCUUAUCCUUCUUCUACUUCUCAGACUAUUAUCAUCAUUUAUAUAUAUAUAUAUAUAUAUAUAUAUAUAUAUAUAUAUAUAUAUAUAUAUAUAUAUAUAUAUAUAUAUAUAUAUAUUCUCCUCCUCACACUUCUGCUAUAUGUGUAUUUCAUGCACUAAUUAAUUAUUGUUUCUUUCCUAUAUAUAUGGUGAUCAUGAUACAUAUAUAUAUAUAUACACUUACGUACGGACACCGCGGAUAUAUGCGUGUUUUGGAUAUAUAGGCUUCUACAAUUAAAUUGUAUCUGUUUGUUUUGUUAAUUAUUUCCUUUUUUUGGGUUAAUUAGUGUUCUUCGCAUCUCUUUCUUCUGCUCCCCUUGGGUUUUGGAAUUAAACCCUAACCUUAGCCAGAAAGGAAAUUAAGGAAAUGAAGAGAAGAAUUAAACUAAUUAAGUAUUUAGAUUUCCCAACUCUCUAUCUGGAUUGAUGCUGGGCCUGACGCACCCCACGUUGCAUGGACCCACCAUCCUCCCACCUCUCAUCUCUCUCUCAUCCAAUUUAUCCUUUAUAUAUGAUUCAUGAUCAUUUACGUUUCCCAACUUGUCGAUAUAAGUAAAUGGAUAAAUUACCUGAGUAAUUAAACAAGCAAUCCUACAUCUACAAAUCAUUUUCUGAUCGAUUAUAAUCUUACAGCGUGUACAUCCAUACAAAGACUGAAAUUUUUACACUUACUUUUCUCGCCACUCUCUCUCUCUCUCUCUCUCUCUCUCUCUCUCUCUCUCUAAAAAAAUUAUUAGUGGAUCCCAAAAAAUAUUGUUUAAACUAUAGAGGAGAGAGUUUAAACCCUUGGAUGGAGGAUAGCAGGAUUAAAAUUCGUUUUUGAGUUUGUAGACUAAGCAAUUUUCAUAACAAAUUUUUUUGUUUUCUUAACUUUGAUAUGAUGGGUAAUUCAUUGCAAGUAUAGCACCAGGAAACCUCGUAGUAUUGGUUCAUUGUGUCUCCUGCUAAUUAGUUGGAUAAUUUAUGGCAAAUAAUCAAGGGGACUUUCAUAGGUUUUUACUGUGAAUGUAAAAAGGUUUUCUAUAAAUCCUGGUCAUAAAAGGGUGGAUUUUCACCACAAAUUAAAGCUCAAUAUAAGGAAUUUUGAACUAUAUAAAGCCCAAAAAGAUUCAAGCUUGGGACACUCCUGGCUCAGAUUUCCUGUGAAACAAUCAAUUAAUUUUUUGUCUCUAAAAGCUCCAACCAACUUUGAAUUAUGUUUUAAUCAUUUAUGUUCAACACUUACAGCUACGAGCGACUCAUGUUCUGUUAUUUCGUUAAUUAUAUCUUGUGUUUCCUCGAGUCCGGCUACUAUACUCUUAUGAGUACAAUCUUCCUUGUACUCAUAAGUCGUUUUCGAUAAUAGAGCUUUCGAAUCGGCGAUUCAUACCGUUAAACAUUAUCUAAAGCAUUUAAAACUUUUAGAAAUCAAAUCUUACAAUUUUUUGACAUAAUUUACCAUACGAUCAAAAUGUCACAAAAUUGACAAUUUUUAACUGCCGGUAUGGAAUACUUGCUAAUUUAACGGUGUAAAAGAAUUGAAAUUGGUUGAAUUUUUGAUAGAAAAUUUUAUUUACUAUAUAGAUAAAGAUCAAUAACUCCGAUCUUAAAUUAAAGGAUUUGAUCAUUCAUUUUUAAGACGUCGUUCGAUUUUAACUGUUCAUUUUAUAUCUGCUUGAUGAAAUUUAUUAUGAUUUUGAAAAAUUACGAAAUUUAUUUUCUAAAAGUUUUAAAUACUCUAGAUCAUAUUUAACGGAGUGGAUCAUCGAUUCGGAAGCUCCAUCAUUAAAAACAACUUAUGAGUACGAAAGACUCUAUACUUAUAAGAGUAUAGUACUACUCGUGUUUCCUCUUUGACAAAGCAUAUAUAAGGCAUGAUUCAUCAAAUUUUCAUUGUACACAUGAUAUGAGUGUGGAUAUUGCUAAUGAUAUUUUUAGGUACUAUUCUCCAUCAAAUCAAUUUUUUUGGAUAAAUUUGAAAAUAUUUAAUGAUGUUGAUCUUUCAUUUGUGUGCAUACACUAUUGUUUAAAGCAAAGCAGAUAAUACAAAGAUUUAAUGCAAUCAAUUGUGCGGUAACAUAUAUAGUAACAUUAGUUAAUUACAUUACUACCUACGCACACCACCCCCUCUUCUUUCUCUUUCCUACUAUAAUUUAUGACUUGCAUCUAUUACAUUAUCUUUUAAUUUUAAAAUAUUGGCCAGCAAAUUUUUAGUGUGGCGUAUGUUAUUAUGAAUUGCUAACAUGGAAGUCAUAUAUAGAAUAACUGGCCAUCUCUAGAGCAAGUGACAAAAGGUUUAGUGGUUGGUACCCGAAAUUUUAAGUUCGAAUCCUAAUUAAUUUAUAUUUCCAGCUAAAUUUUAUUUCUAAAUGAAAUAAACAAAACUGGUAGUGUGCUACUUAUCUCCUAUAUCUCUCUCUCUCAAAAAAAAAAAAGUCAUAUAUAUAGAAUAUCUCCACCCAUCGUUGAGUGGAAAGAGCCCACCAAAUAUAACAUAGGCGUUGUCACUAACGGGGAGGCUACAUUAUCAAUUUAAUUUUUCAAGCACCAGGAACCCAACUCAUUUUUUUUUUCUAUUCAAGGAAUAAUAGGACGAAUUAUUAUUAUUACUAUUUUGGAAGAGUAAUAGAACAGAUUAGUGAAUUCUAUUCCCUCAUAUAUUCUAUUGUCUUUCUUCCUUUUUUUAAAAAAAUUCAUCUCUUUCGAACUCAAACUAUUUUUGUUUGCGUGUUCCUUUUUUUUUUUUUUUUUUUCAGUUGUGUUAUUAAUACCGCGGUAAUUGUAAAAGUUUGGGCCUUUGGAGUCUUUGUUCUUUUUUAUCAUAGCAAUUUAAUUCGGCAGGAACAUUCCUCCCCGACCAAUACAUUUCUUUUUCGUUUUUUCUUUUUAUUUUUUUGAAAGUGAAAGCUAGCAUAGUACCCAGCUACAUUGUUCAUUUUUUUAAAAAAAUUAAUUCAGUUAGAAAUAUAAACCAAUUAGGUUUCCAACAGAAGACUUCGAAUACUAACCAUUAAGCCUCUAGUUAACUAUACUAGGUACAGCCUUUAUAUUAAAAUUGGUUUUGGUUCACUGCAUCUGGUUGAUGACCUGGAACUUAAUUAUAAAAGCUUUGACUUAAUUUUGAAAUAUAUAUACUUUUCUUGUCUCUCACCUAAACUAAAACCUUUAAAGGCAUGUUUGUUUCAACGUAAGUAGACUUGGGGUGGAAGUGGACUUUGGGUUGAAGUGAAGUUAGGGUGAAAAUUAAUUCACUUUCGCUGUUUGUUUCUAACUGUGAAAGUGUAGUUCUGCGAGUUCUGUUGUUUGUUUGGUAAGAAGUAGAUGACGUAAAAAGUGUAGUUCUCUACUCCCGAUAUACUUACCUCUAAAGUAAUAUUAUUGUCUAUUUUGUAACUUAGUGAAUAAUAAAUUAUAAUAAAUAAAAAUUAAUAUAAUUAUAUAUGUAUAUAAUUAUAUAUAUGUAUAAUUAUAAAAUAAAAUUUUAAAAAAUUAUAUUAUUUGUUUGCAUAUAAAUUAUAAUAAUGCGACAAAUAAAAUUCUAAAGUUAAAAAAUUAUUAACAAUUUAACAAAUUCAUUUUUCAUCAUUUUCUAAAUAUACAAAUUAAACAAAAAAUAUAUUAAAACUUACUUAACCAAAUUUGAUCAUAUUUUAGACAUACAUUCAAAAUAAAAAAUUUAAUUACUUCCACAAUUGAAUAUAUUUGCAUGAAAGGAAAGGGUAGAGAAGAGGAUAACCCUAACACAUCAAUUCCCACUCUUGUCUCUUUUCACCUCACCGAAAUUGACUUCGCUCUAUGAGAGGGGGAAGUCAAUUUCAUUAAUUUAGGUGAACUAGACUUUUGGGCGUAACAAAAUUGCGGUAAACCAAAUAACGAAAGUGGUCAGUUUUUACCGAAAAUUACUUUUCCCUUCCCACUUCCACCCCACUUUCGUACAAACAAAUAAGCCCUAACUGUUGUUCUCUCCCUUUCAAGGAGUGACCCCACUUUCUCUCUCACUUUCUGCCAGCUUUUUCCAGGGGGAUAUAUAGAAAUAUCACUUUCCUACACUAAAACCUUAACUCUCUCUCUCUCUCUCUCUCUCUCUCUAUAUAUAUAUAUACACACAUAGUCCAACAAUGCUACUUUUAAAAGUACCAAAUAAUUGGUACUUGUAAAUUUUUUUAUGAUUGGAUCUAUUUCUUUAAUCAAUUUCACUCCUUAAAUUAUGCUAAUCCAUAAACCACCAACUCAAUUUUAGAAGACCACUAUUAUUCCAAGAGUACAUUUCUUAAUCUAAGGGCCGAAAAUGUAAAAGCACUAAUGACUUGAUACUUUUAAAACCAUAAGAACUCAAUUAUAUAUAUAUAUAUAUAUAUAUAUAUAUAUAUAG